CAGGAACUUCUCAUAAAACACUUCAGUCGAAAGGUGUUUCAGACAUGCCUCGUUAAACUCUCCCGAUUCGCUCAGACAGGAAAACCCUGGCAUCCGUUCCUUCUCAAUCCCACUUGGAGGCUACAGACCGACAUCGUGCUCAACUCCCAGAAGUACGACAGCAGCCUCCGACCAUACCGAUUCAGGGCUUCCAGCUGUCCAUCAAGGUCACACAGGUUCAGGGGGAGAGAGGUGGACAGUGUCCAAGGAGGUGUGGACACCCCUCGACUUAAAAAUACCAUUUCUGUCAAGUAUCCUUACAGUCCAAUCCCUGUGGUAUACAUCGCUAAGCAAGAGGAACCCAGAAAACAGUUGGAUUCUGAUACAUCUAAUUAUUAAGGCCUCUGAUACAUCUUGUAAUGUGAAGAACAGAAUAAAUUACCCAGUUUCAUGAUUUGCAAACCCAUUUCUCGACUGCUUUCUGAAGUUCUAAAUGACGUUUCGCAAGCUGCAGUCAAACGUUCCAAAAUGAUGCAUUCUCCGUCUUUGGUUUACCCAUUACACACACUAUAAACCUUUAAAUGGGCAUGCUGACCGCACACAUUUAGACGUUUUCUGCUUUUACAUUUCCGCACACCAGUCCAGCUCUCUCCACCCUUAUUCAAGCACUUUUUUCCUCCUCAUAAUUGUAAUCCAGGUCCUAACAGUACUGUACACACUGGAAGAAACAUAAAGAUGCUCUGUGGCACAAACUUUAGAGACAGGGAUGAAAGAAUUAUUACACCGGAAAUGUUAACAAGCCUCUCCAAAUAGACGUAUAAAUCUACAAAAAUGCUAAAAAACACUUUUGCACAGGUUCGUCCUCUCAUUCAUGGGCAUCCACCAGAAUAACACAUUUGGCUUUCCUUGACAUUUUUUCUGUCCAAAAAUCAUAAUUCUUCAACGCUUGCACAAAUUAAAAGACUUUGAACUACUCAUAAAAAGCCAUUUUAAAAUUUAUUUCACUAACCCAUUGACUUUUAUAGCUACUUUUUCUUUUUAAAUAGAAAUCAGCACAAUCUUCAGCAAAAAAAGCUAACAAAAGGUUUACAACUGUAAACCAGAGCUGUACAUAAAACCGACUUUUCCAAAUUACACCUCUGAGCCUCUUACCAUAAAAAAAAAAAAAAAAAAACACGCACACACA